AUUGAACGCUGGCGGCAGGCCUAACACAUGCAAGUCGAACGAGUGGCGGACGGGUGAGUAAUGUCUGGGAAACUGCCCGAUGGAGGGGGAUAACUACUGGAAACGGUAGCUAAUACCGCAUACCAUCUGAUGUGCCCAGAUGGGAUUAGCUAGUAGGGGGGGUAAAGGCUCACCUAGGCGACGAUCCCUAGCUGGUCUGAGAGGAUUACCAGGCACAAGGGAAAUGAGCAACGGUCCAGAGUCCGACGGGAGGCAGAAGUGGGGAAUAGUGAACAAUGGGCGAAAGCCUGAUGCAGCCAUGCGGAGUGUAUGAAGAAGGGCUUCGGGUUGUAAAGUACGUUCAGCGAGGAGGCGUUACCCGCAGAAGAAGCACCGGCUAACUCCGUGCCAGGAGCCGCGGUAAUUC
rnacentral:rRNA from 1 species